UGGGACUGUACACAUAAAUGAAAACAAAUUUCUAAGCUUGAGUUUAAGACUGUAUCUAUAAAGAAUAUCCACAGAGAAGGUCAGGGAGUUCUUUCUAAAUACAGUAAUCAACUCUGCUUUUUCAAAUAAGGAAGAGUUUGUACUUCCAAUCUUCUACGGAGAAGAACUGCAAUGCUCAAACUCUUUUAAGUUUCCUUUGAGGCCUAACAAAACAAGAAGAUACUCAGCUAGAAGAUUCCUCUGUGAGGCUGCUAGUACUUCUCCAGCAGACCAAGCCAGGAGAGCUUUCUCAAAGAACACGGCGGCCUAGAGAGAGG
rnacentral:lncRNA from 1 species